UAAACUACGAUUAGAUACCCUAUUAUUUUAAAUGUAAAUGUUAUAAACUUGAGUAGUAAUAGUUAUGUUCUUGAAACUCAAAGAAUUUGGCGGUGUUUUAGUCUUUUCAGAGGAACCUGUCCCGUAAUCGAUAAUCCACGUUAUACCUUACUUAUUUUUGUUAACAGCUUGUAUACCGCCGUCGUCAGAAUGUCCUAAGAAGGUUCUAAUUUUCUAAAAUUUUUAUUGAAAAUGAUGUCAGGUCAAGGUGUAGCUUACGAAUAAGUGGUGAUGGGUUACAAUAAAUUUAUUUAUAACGGAUAAAGUUUUGAAAUAAACUUUUGAAGGUGGAUUUGAUGGUAAUUAACUUAAUUAAAUUAAUUUGAUUUUAGCUCUAAAACAUGCACACAUCGCCCGUCGCUCUUA
rnacentral:rRNA from 1 species